CUUGCCAUCCCUUAAAUAAUACAGUGUAACAACUAAGCACAUAGUAUUUACAGUGCCUUAGGCAUUAUAAUCUCGAGAUUGACUUAAGUACUCGGGCGGAUGUGUGUGGGUUACAUGUAAAUACUAUGCCCCUUUAUGUAAGGGACUUGAUUUGAAUAUUGUAAGUGGUUGAGAUUGUGGCCAUAGAGUCAGAGUGCUAGAGCUCUUGUGUUCAAAUCCUGGCUCCCUAUUUUACUAGCGAGUUACCCAACCCAGUGGUCCCCAACCCUGGGCCCAUAAACUGGUUAGGAACUGGCAGAGAGCAAGAGGAACUUUGUGUUGACAGAGGCCUCUGUCCCCCAUGACAGCCGGAGCCUGGGAGGCACUGGAUUCUCAUAGGAGUGUGAACCCUACUGUGAACUGCGCAUGCGGGGAUCUAGGUUGCUGCUCCUUUGAGUCGUCCUUAACCCUCAUCAUCUUCAGAUGACUUGUACGUCCUAAAACAACGUAAAUGCUAUGCAAAUAGUUAUUAUGCUUGAUUGUUUAGGGAACAAUGACAAGAAAAAGAUCUGUCCCUUUUUAUUGCAGAUUUAAUUUUCUUCUGGAUAUUUCUGUUCUGCAGGAGGUUAAAUCCUUGCAUGGGAGGCUUUGGUUACCCAGGAGACCGUGUUGGCAGAAUGUGCCCGUGUUCUGUGUGGAGCUCUUCCCCCAGCGCACCAGCUUGGCAACAGUUCAUUAUGGAGAAACCGGCACGUGCAGAUCUCCAGUGAACGCGCUGUGCGCUCCUCGGUUUUGCGGUCCAAGACACAGGCUCCGCGGUCCCUCCCGACGUCCCCAGGCCUCGUCGGCACAGGCGGGGCUCUGGAAGCAGCCAGAUGACAGGGCACAGCUGUUGCUCUUAGGAGGGGCGCCCCUCCCUGCUCCCUUUCACUGUCUGCCCCUUGUCUGGCCCGAGGCGGGCAGGUCUCCUUUGGGCCUGCCCCUCUGCCGCGACUGUGGAUCCAAACCUCGGCACGGCACGCUGAGCUAAAAUAACCCUCUCCUGCUCUGCGCUCCGGGCGCCGGGGGACCAGAACGGGACCAAGGCCGAGUCCAAGCUCGGUGAGUACCAGCAUGGUCUGGCCCAGGGUGCUCGGCCCCGAGAACGCCCCGCGGCUCCAGCACCCACAGCCCGGCGUCUGCCCAUUGCCUUCCGAGUGGGCCGGCGAGGGGUCAGCGCAGGGAGAAUUCAAGCCACUCAGGGCAGACACCAUAUGGCUCCCGAACCUGCCAACCCGAGCCUGCGGACAGCCGGAGCAUCAGCCUCCUACACCCUUGUGUAGCCUCGUGGCGGGGCACACCUGUGAUCCCAGCUCUCUUGGAGGCUGAGGCAGGAGGGUUGCGGAGAGCUCCAGGCCAGCCUGGGCUACAGAGUGAGACCCUGACAAAACGGAGUCCCGAGGCAAAAGAAAGAGACUCACAGCUGUUCACGAGCUGUGUCACAACCCAGCUGUACGGGCAGCAACGCUCUGACCGCCAGACGCAAGCUCAGCCCCAAUUUUCCGUGCGAGCUGUCUGCCCACGGUGGGAAAGCCUCCGGGGUCUCCCCGCUUUGCGCACAUUGCCUUGUCCAGUCCCCCGCCAGGAGUAAGGGAGACGGAGUGAAGCUGGUGUGAAAUGUAAAGGAGGGAUCCCCCAAACACCCCGACUCAGUACAGAUGUAAGUAAUAUUUCAGGGCCACAUUAAAAAGUAAAAGUCCAUGCAAAAAAUCCAUGCUGAGAAAAAUAUCAAUAUUUUAAAUAAAGCCAGGAUAUUAUUUGAGAUUUCUUUCCUUUUCUUUUUUUCAGUGCUGGGGGUCAAACCAGAGCCUCACAUAUGCCCCGAACUACAUCCCUGUCGUAGGUGUGUAUGUGUGUUUCUUUUGCCUCAACUUGUUAAAAUGAAAAAAUAAAAAUUAUACUACAAACUAAUAAGAGAAUAACAAUAGCCGAUACACUGUGUAUCUUUAUCUUCAGGGUAGUUACUCAGGGUACAAGACAUACACCAAAGAUAUUCUUCCAACAAACAAAC
rnacentral:lncRNA from 1 species